AUUGCCUUAUUCCAGCAUUCUACAAGGGAUAACAGACUUACCACAUUGUUUUUGAUGUUCUGUGACGUCGCAUAAGCUGUCAAAAUAGCAUUUACAUCCCCCAUACUGAAAAUAUAGUGGUGAAGUGGCGGCCAUCUGCGGUUUGUUGAUAAACAAUGGUUGCCAGACACUGCCAAGCAUUCACCUCCGAGGAGCGCAAGGUCCCGCAAGCUUCCGCAAGCCGACCUGUAUGCUGGUCCCCCCCGAUUCGGGGGAAGUAUGCCAUACUGUAAGCCUUACCGUCCCCAACGGAACGCGGCCCAGGUGUUGCUGGGCCCAGCCGUGUUGCCACGUCGGCUGAGCUCCCAUCUGUGUCUGGGGAGAGUGCAGCCAUGGACCGACUCUCUACCCUUCUUUCUGGCCUUAUUGACAGACUGGACAAGGGUCCUGCACAACCUGUGGAGUCGAUUGUUACUGGUACCGACUUCAGCAGGUUUCAUGCUCUCUCUUCCUCUGAAGAAGAGGAGGGGCAGCUUCAGGCCAGUCAGCCAGACCCUCUUGAUGAUUUGGACCAGCUUGCCCGCGGUGAGACUGUGGACGAGGAUUUCAUGAAAGCUUUGGAAGAUUUUUCUGGCAACUUCUAUGGUGAGGAGAAGGUGGGCUCGCUUGGCCACCAUCCUCAACUCCAGCCUUCGUCGUCGUCCACAGGCAGACAGUGUGAAGUCAACUUGUGGGUCGAUCAAGCUCCCGAGUAAUGUUCCGAACCUGACGGUGCCUGUGACCAACCAUACCAUAACUAAGGCCAUGAGUUUGCAUGGGAGGCUUGUAGACGGUAAGCUUCUUCAGACUAAUGGCCUGCUGACAAAGGCCUUAGUCCCUAUUGCAGUUUGUUUAAGUGAUAUUGGGGAAAAGGAAGGUAAGAGUUUGUAUCUUCUUACUUCAGCAGUGAAUUAUAUUAAUCAACUGAGAAAAGAUAUUGUCCGGAUCCAUGUCCGGGAUUCGGUUAUGGUUGAUCUGUGUAAAUGGGAAUGUGAAGUGGGCCAAGAUGAAUUGUUUCCCUUUGAUGUAGCUAAAAAAUGUGAGGAGAUCCACAAGGCAGGAUGGCUGGGUCAGCUGUCGUUCCGCCCUUCCAAGGUACCUGGCAGGCGGUUUACUCCCUCUUCCCGCUCGGCACACCGGUCUUCCCAGGCUUCCUACCAGUCUCGGCCUUUUUUAGGCCAGCGGCCUCCUCAGGCGAGGAGGAUGUUUGUCCCAAGGCUCCAGCAGUGAGUUCACCGAUUGUGAGCUGUUCACGGAUGCCUGCCUGACUGGUUGGGGUGCUUCGAUGGAGGCUGUUAAGACUGGAGGUCACUGGGCCCAUGUGGAGCUGGAUCACAUUAAUUCUUUGGAGUUAAAAGGUAUUCUCUUGGGCUUGCAGUCCCUAUGUAAGGAUCGGACUGGCUCUCAUAUCCGGCUCUGCUCCGACAAUGCCACAGCUGUUGCCUGUACUAAUCAUUGUGGUAGCAUGAGACCUACACUUCAGGCGCUUACUGAGCAGAUUUUUGAAUGGGCAGCGUCUCAGGGUAUUUCCUUGUCUGCAGCGCAUGUGCAGGGUGUCUCCAAUGUGACAGCUGACAUGGAAUCUAGUCAGUAAAAUGGAUAGUGAAUGGAGGCUACAGCCAUGUCUUUUUAGGGAAGCUUUAUCAGCGAUUUUAUACUCCUGAGAUAGAUCUUUUUGCCACCCGCAUUAAUGCUCAAUUACCUGCUUAUGUCUCUUGAAAGCCUGACCCAUCUGCUAUGGACAUUAAUGCCUUCACCCUGGACUGGGGUAGUAAAAGUUUAUAUGUUUUUUCACCUUUCAGUGUGAUCUCCAGGGCUCUGCGAAAACUGCAAGACGACAGUGCGACAGUUUUUGAUGGUUCUCCCUCUAUGACCGACGCAAGUGUGGUUCCCGAUGGCCCUUCAGUUAUUGGUAGACGCACCAGUGUUGCUCCCAUGCUGUCCUCUUGUUCUCCCUCAGCAGCCAACUCUCACACACCCCGAGCUCACAAGAUAGUCUUGACAGCAAUGCUGCUCUCCGGACAGCCUUCACACGUCGCGGCAUUUCAUCAGAAGUUGCCCAGUUUUUCCUUCAGUCAUGGAGAUCUAGCACUAAGGCACAAUAUAGGCAGCAUAUCAACAAAUGGUUGCUAUUUUGUCUCGGCAGGACGACUGAUCCUUUUCACCCCCUAUAGGUGUCCUUUUAGAUCAUCUCUUCUCAGAAUUUAACCGGGAACCAGGCCAUGGGUACAGCACUAUAAACACCAUCUGGUCUGCCAUCUCUGCCAUUGCCACGAUUGCUGACUGACCUGCGGGCCAGCAUCCUUUGUUUUCUCAGUUUAUGAAGGCAGUUUUUCUACAGCGACCAUCUUUUUCUCGUACACAUGUGACUUUGGACCCUCAACUGGUUUUAGAUUAUAUCUGUAGUCUUGGCUCCACUGAAGCUUUGUCAAUCCUUCAUUUAUCCAGAAAAUUGGUCAUUCUUAUGCUCUUGUUGUCAGGCCAGCAUGGCCAAACCUUACAUUUGCUAGAUAUUCGCAACUUAAGUCUUUCUGAGUCUCAGGCUGUUUUUGGGAUUGGUGAUCUGAAAACUUCUCGUCCAGGGGCCCAUCUCUCAGGGUUAGUUUUUGAAGCAUAUCCACAUGACAGUCACUUGUGUGUUGUGCACACUAUAAAACAUUAUCUUCAUAGAACUAGGCCCAUCCGAGGCGAGCUUACUGGCUUUUUCUUGACUACACGUCCUCCAGUACGGUUGGCUUCUUGGGACACUUUGCGUCGUUGGGUGAGGGAUGUGAUGGGAGCAGCUGGCAUUGACCUUACUGUUUUUUCUCCCCAUUCUAUUAGGUCAGCAUCAUCCAGCAAGGCAGCCCUAGUGUUGCCUUUGUCAAUGAUUAUCUCCACUAUUGGUUGGGCCAGGGUGUCUACAUUUACACGCCACUACCACAAGCCUCUCACUCAACAUGGACUGUUUGCGAGGGCCGUUUUGCCCUAGGGAGUCUGGCUUACUCCCAGGCUUGGGGUUAUAUAUGAGGAUCCUUGGGCUCCUUUUUGGUUUAGGGAUGAAUGUCUUUACCUAUUACCGUGGGACUGUUCCACUAUUCUAACUGAUGUGUUAUUGGGUUUCUUUCCUUUCCCCUAUGGGACUUUAUGAUACUAUUAAAUAUUGUGUUGUGUUUUCAACAUAUGUUGUGUCUUACUGGUGUGUACCUUUUGUAUUGCAUAUUGUUGGUAUCUUCUGCCAUAUACUGUUGUGCCUCACUUGACUAUAGUUCCUGUCUUAUGUAUUGUGUUUGUCUGUUAUUUUUGUGCUUUGUUUGUUGUGACUAACUGUUGGGAUUUUGAAAUACAGUUUUCUGCUUUCCUAUUAUU